CAGUCGCCACGGUAAUACGGAGGGUGCAAGCGUUAUCCGGAUUCACUGGGUUUAAAGGGUGCGUAGGCGGAUCUGUAAGUCAGUGGUGAAAUCUCCAGGCUUAACCUGGAAACUGCCGUUGAUACUAUAGGUCUUGAAUUUUGUGGAGGUUAGCGGAAUAUGUCAUGUAGCGGUGAAAUGCAUAGAUAUGACAUAGAACACCAAUUGCGAAGGCAGCUGGCUACACAACUAUUGACGCUGAGGCACGAAAGCGCGGGGAUCAAACAGGAUUAGAUACCCCAGUAGUCCCUGUCUCUUAUAC
rnacentral:rRNA from 1 species